rnacentral:rRNA from 14 species
CUCGUGUCGUGAGAUGUUGGGUUAAGUCCCGUAACGAGCGCAACCCUUGUCCUUAGUUACCAGCACGUAAUGGUGGGCACUCUAAGGAGACUGCCGGUGACAAACCGGAGGAAGGUGGGGACGACGUCAAAUCAUCAUGCCCCUUAUGUCUUGGGCUUCACGCAUGCUACAAUGGCCGGUACAAAGGGCUGCGAUACCGCGAGGUGGAGCGAAUCCCAAAAAGCCGGUCUCAGUUCGGAUUGGGGUCUGCAACUCGACCCCAUGAAGUCGGAGUCGCUAGUAAUCGCAGAUCAGCAACGCUGCGGUGAAUACGUUCCCGGGCCUUGUACACACCGCCCGUCAAGUCACGAAAGUCGGUAACACCCGAAGCCGGUGGCCUAACCGUUGUGGGGGAGCCGUCGAAGGUGGGACUGGUGAUUAGGACUAAGUCGUAACAAGGUAGCCGUACCGGAAGGUGCGGCUGGAUCACCUCCUU